AUAAGGUCAGAGAGGUGCCAUCAAUACUAAGCAAAUCAACACGUGAAAGGUCUGAUGAGCCAUUACCAGAAAAGAAGAGUGAUGUUCUAGAAAGCAAUUGUGAUCAACAAUGGGUGGUUGGGCAGAAAAUACUUGCAGGCCCAGCUGUUAAUUGUGGUAGUAAACCUAGUGUUCGUACAUCUUCUAAAGCAACAUCAACCAAUUUUAGAGUUUUAGAAGCUGGAAAUGGCAUUCAGGUAAAUGAUCUACUAGAAGUUGGUGAAGACCAACAAGAGAAAAGUGUUGAAGACCACCACAAAGAUGGCCACUUAAGUAACUCUUCUGUUGCUGAAGAGGAAAUA
rnacentral:misc_RNA from 1 species